GACGAACGCUGGCGGCAUGCCUAACACAUGCAAGUCGAACGAGUGGCGGACUGGUGGGUAAUUUCUGAACACCUGCCUAAUCGAGGGGGCUAACUGCUGGAACCGGUGGCUACUACCGCUUACCAUCGUAUGUGCCCAGAUGGGAUUAGCUAGUGGGUGUGGUAACGGCUCACCUAGGCGACGAUCCAUAGCUGGUCUGAGAGGAUGAUCAGCCACACUGGAACUGAGACACGGCCCAUACUCCUACGGGAGGCAGCAGUGGGGAAUAUUGGACAAUGGGCGCAAGCCUGAUGGAGCCACGCCGCGUGUAUGAAGAAGGUUUUCGGGUUGUAAAGCACUUUUAGCGGGGAGGCGUUAUCCAAAGAAGAAGCACCGGCUAACUACGUGCCAGCCGCCGCGGUAAUAC
rnacentral:rRNA from 1 species